UACGUAGGGACCGAGCGUUGUCCGGAAUCAUUGGGCGUAAAGAGCGUGUAGGCGGCUUGCUAAGUCUUGCGUGAAAUCUCGGGGCUCAACCCCGAGCGGUCGUGGGAAACUGGCAGGCUAGAGUCCGGGAGAGGCGAGUGGAAUUCCCAGUGUAGCGGUGAAAUGCGUAGAUAUUGGGAGGAACACCAGUGGCGAAGGCGGCUCGCUGGGCCAUUCCUGACGCUGAGACGCGAAAGCUAGGGGAGCGAACAGG
rnacentral:rRNA from 1 species